rnacentral:rRNA from 1 species
UACGAAGGGGGCUAGCGUUGCUCGGAAUUACUGGGCGUAAAGGGCGCGUAGGCGGAUAGUUUAGUCAGAGGUAAAAGCCCAGGGCUCAACCUUGGAACUGCCUUUGAUACUGGCUAUCUUGAGUUCGGGAGAGGUGAGUGGAAUGCCGAGUGUAGAGGUGAAAUUCGUAGAUAUUCGGCGGAACACCAGUGGCGAAGGCGACUCACUGGCCCGAUACUGACGCUUGAGGCGCGAAAAGCGUGGGGGAGCAAACAGGG